CUCGGAGUUUGAUCCUGGCUCAGAUUGAACGCUGGCGGAAUGCUUUACACAUGCAAGUCGAACGGUAGAGGGGGCAACCCCUUGAGAGUGGCGAACGGGUGAGUAAUAUAUCGGAACGUGCCCGAGUCGUGGGGGAUAACGUAGUGAAAAUUACGCUAAUACCGCAUACGAUCUAAGGAUGAAAGCGGGGGAUCGCAAGACCUCGCGCGAUUGGAGCGGCCGAUAUCAGAUUAGGUAGUUGGUGAGGUAAGGCUCACCAAGCCAACGAUCUGUAG
rnacentral:rRNA from 1 species